CCUACGGGAGACUGCAGUGGGGAAUAUUGCACAAUGGGGGAAACCCUGAUGCAGCGACGCCGCGUGAGUGAAGAAGUAUUUCGGUAUGUAAAGCUCUAUCAGCAGGGAAGAAAAUGACGGUACCUGAUUAAGAAGCCCCGGCUAAAUACGUGCCAGCAGCCGCGGUCAUACGUAGGGUGCACGCGUUAUCCGGAUUUACUGGGUGUAAAGGGAGCGUAGACGGCAGCACAAGUCUGGAGGGAAAUGCCGGGGCUUAACCCCGGAACUGCUUUGGAAACUGUGCAGCUAGAGUGCAGGAGAGGUAAGUGGAAUUCCAAGUGUAGCGGUGAAAUGCGUAGAUAUUAGGAGGAACACCAGUGGCGAAGGCGGCUUACUGGACUGUAACUGACGUUGAGGCUCGAAAGCGUGGGGAGCAAACAGGAUUAGAUACCCUAGUAGUC
rnacentral:rRNA from 1 species